AGCAGUAGCCGCGGUAAUACGUAGGGUGCGAGCGUUAAUCGGAAUUACUGGGCGUAAAGCGUGCGCAGGCGGUUGUGUAAGACAGGUGUGAAAUCCCCGAGCUUAACCUGGGAACUGCGCUUGUGACUGCACAGCUAGAGUAUGGCAGAGGGGGGUGGAAUUCCACGUGUAGCAGUGAAAUGCGUAGAGAUGUGGAGGAACACCGAUGGCGAAGGCAGCCCCCUGGGCCAAUACUGACGCUCAUGCACGAAAGCGUGGGGAGCAAACAGGAUUAGAGACCCCUGUAGUCCCUGUCUCUUAUAU
rnacentral:rRNA from 1 species